rnacentral:lncRNA from 1 species
CCUGACCAAUUUAUUAGUGUCUAAGAAAAGUAAUGGAGAGACCCCCACUCAUCUUAACUUAUCUGACCAUUUUGGAAGAUUAAGUUUUGAAUUAGGUUACUUGUUGAUUCGAGUUCACCCAUAUCAACUAGGUAGGUCAGACAUGUGAAUGUGCUGAUCUGAACUUGAUCAAUCAGAUAUCAAAUCAGAUGAUUUAGAAGAGAUCUAAACUUAAAUCUUCUUACUAAAUAUUAAGUCUAGC